rnacentral:lncRNA from 1 species
UCCUUCUUUUCUCUCCUCCUUGUGUCAUCAGAGUUCAGGAAAAAAUUCUACCCCACUCACAUUGUUAGUUGUGGAGACCUUGGAUCCACAUAUUGAUGCUGUUAGUGGUAGCUCAUAUCAGCCAGAGUGCUUGGCUGUUGAGUCUGCUCAUGCUCAUCUUCAGGUGAUGUGUUUGACGUCUCAGUGGUGAAUGAAAUCAUGGCUUGAGGUUCACCAAGACCAUGACCACUGGUGCUUGGCUCCUUACGUCAGCUUCCUCAGGUGCUCCUGGCUCUCUUAUGACUCAGGUGCUUCCCCUCCCUCCUGAUUUUGGGAUGUUUCAGCCCUCAGCCUGGACAUCUGCAUCCCUCAUAUAGUUGCACGGGGAUUUCUGGAUCCUUACCAUGCUAUGAGCAAGCAGUAGGGAAAGACAGGAGCAGUAUUUUGGGACCAUCCAUAUAGACACCUCACUCUACAAAUAAUGCUCUAUCAUUCUUGCAACAUGUCAGUCUUGACUCAGGGAGCAGAGCCCCACUUAGAUGCUCUUGGAUUCUCCUUCAAGGUAUAUGGGUUUGUUGUUCUUAAGUUUCUGUCAGCUUGAAGUUUCUAUUAUGAUGUAUCUAUUGCUCCUCUGAAACCAUGCUCAGGACAUUAGGGCACUGAGUUUCAAGAAAUCCACAACCUUACCCUGGUCUUAUCUUUUUUGAAAUUUUUCUAAAUUUAUUGCGUCUUCCUUCCAGAGGCCAGAGAGAUUUGUAUUUUUAUUUCCUCUGUAAUAGAAGGUGAUCUUCCAUCAAAUUCUCACUUUUCUAUAGAAUAAAACCCUAUGCUCAGAUUUCCAGAUUUCCUGCCCUUGAUAUGUACAAGUAAGGCUUUGGAAUUUAGCAAAGCAUUUUGCCUCAAAACAAAGCUUGGUUUGUAAGACUGUUACACUAUGGAUGCAAGAAAAUAUUUUUUUUGGUGUUUAAAGCUGAACAAUGAUUUCUUUAUUCUAGGCAGCAUCUGACUUCCCUCAGAAAUGAAAAGAAGCCAUUAAAUCAGAAGCCAGAGGCAACAUGAUUUAUGGGGAUGGAAGAAUCAUUGUUUUAAACAUCUCAAAAUAGAAUUCUCUUUAUAACAGCAAGAUCAUGUUUCAUUUCUGAAUGCCUAGUGCCUAGCUCAGCAUCUGCUACACAGUAGGCACUCAAUAAACGUGUCUUGAAUGAAAGGACAGUCUUGUUAGCUUUUUCCAGGUCACACUAUAUAGCAUAACUUUGGAUAACCAAGUUGAUGUAAAAUCAACUUAAGGAUGUCUAUGAAUGAAUGGAACACAUCUGCAUUGGACCUGGUUCCUGUGUCUCCCCACAUUUACUCAGUCCCACUUAACCCCAGGGCCUAAGCUGCUAUCACCUCACUCCUAACACAGUGAUUCUUCAAGUACGGUAUCUGGAAAGACACUUUCCAACCUGACAUGAUCGUGAAAGUCCUUUUCCCAGGCGCCUGCAUACCACUUCCUGAUAAUUCUUAUGUGUUACUGUCAAAUAUCUCUCAGCUUACGUAGCCACAUGAAGUAUUUUUGUUCAACAUUUCUUAUUCAUGACUGUAUAAAAUUGAUGAAGGAGUAAUUUCAUUAGUAACAUAGAAAGAUAUCUGCAGGAAACAUAACUGUAAAGAGGAUUAUGGGCCUUUAGAAAGUGCACGUGCCAAGAAGAUCAAGGCCCAGAUUAAGACCAAAUGGCAUGGACAUAGUGAACUUUGUGUGUAUGAUCUGAUCAAUCUAUUUAAUAGAACUGGGAUCCCUAGGAAUGGAGACCAAGUAGUGGAAGAUCAGAAUGGCCUGGUGGAUGAUGCAGAGGCCUACUGAAGGCCACAGUGACUGACUUGGUGCUUGUGGAGCUCAAGAUGAGGAGGACGUUAAGAACAUCCAAGAAGAGACCAGUUGGGUAGAACUGACUGAGCAGAGGCCAAACGAGGAUUAACAGUUAGUUGAUGUUACCAUAAACCUCAUCAAAAUCCUUUGGUGAUACUUUGUUACUAAUUCCAGAGUUCUCGGACUUUAGGAAAUUACUUUUGUUAAAAAUUCCUGGUUUGUGCCACAGAGGUUCUUAUUAUCUAGAGUCAAGCACAGAAGUGUUAUCUUUAAUAGCCAAAGUGAUUUUUCCCACAUUUUCAGAAACACUGACAUUAAGGAUAAAGUCCAAAUUCCUGUUCAUAAAACUUAGCAUCUUCUAAGAUUUUUCAAGGCUGUUCAAGCAUUUCUUUAUGAAGUAAUUCUUAAUACCAUUGAGUGUGAUGAAUUUUUUUUGUGUGUACCAUUGCAUUUCACAGCAUCAUAGAGCUUUUAGAACAUAAGAACAGCUACUCAUUUACAUUUCUGUCAUUUUAUUCAAGAUAGUGAGCAAUUAAAAAAGGGACUGACACUUGCUUUUGAUUUCCCAGGGCUUAGCACAGUGCUUAGUAUAGAACAAGCUCUAAAAAAAUUAGUUCUACUGUAUCUAUAAAUAAAACCAAGUGAAAGUUUUUCUUAUCUCUGUAAAAGAACAGAUAUUGCUAACAUGUUAAAAAUUAUCACAAAAUUACAUUGUACCAUAUUGUUUUUCUUCCUUGUGAUGUCAUUGUCUGACUUCAGUAUCCAAGUAGUGGUCACCUCAUCAAUUGAAUUGGGAAAUGUUCCUCUGGCUUCUAUUUUCUGAAAGAGAGAGAGAGAGAGAGAGAGAGUGUGUGUGUGUGUGUGUGUGUGUGUGUGUGCGUGUGUAUGUGGGUUUUGAUUGGUAUUACUUUUUGCUUAAAUGUUUGUUUGAUAGAAUUUAUCAGAGAAGUCAUCUGGGCUUUGAUUUUUCUUUGUGGGAAGAUUUUAAAUUACAAUUUCUUUACUUUAUAUAGGUCUAUUCAGAUUUUCUAUGUAUUCCUAACUCAGUUUUGGUAAUUUGUGUCUUUCUAGAAAUUUGUCUAUUUCAUGUAAUCUAUUUGGUAUAAAGUUUUUUGUAACAUUGUCUUAUAAAUAUUUUGAUAGCUCUGUGUUCUAUAGUGAA